ncrna:unclassified sequences pemK RNA
ACAAUGAUACUUCUCGAAAGAGCUGGGCGGAAGCGCAGGGGAGGAACUCCCAUGG